UGGGGAAUCUUGCGCAAUGGGCGAAAGCCUGACGCAGCCAUGCCGCGUGAAUGAUGAAGGUCUUAGGAUUGUAAAAUUCUUUCACCGGGGACGAUAAUGACGGUACCCGGAGAAGAAGCCCCGGCUAACUUCGUGCCAGCAGCCGCGGUAAUACGAAGGGGGCUAGCGUUGCUCGGAAUUACUGGGCGUAAAGGGAGCGUAGGCGGACAUUUAAGUCAGGGGUGAAAUCCCGGGGCUCAACCUCGGAAUUGCCUUUGAUACUGGAUGUCUUGAGUGUGAGAGAGGUAUGUGGAACUCCGAGUGUAGAGGUGAAAUUCGUAGAUAUUCGGAAGAACACCAGUGGCGAAGGCGACAUACUGGCUCAUUACUGACGCUGAGGCUCGAAAGCGUGGGGAGCAAACAGG
rnacentral:rRNA from 1 species